rnacentral:misc_RNA from 1 species
CCAUUCGUAUGCUCAAACCUAAAUCCCUAGCCGAAGCAUAUUCUCUUGCAAGAUUGCAAGAACUGACAGUGGCAGCCAUACAACAGAAGCCAAAACCAGUCAGUAAACCAACCACAAGUGCCAUAGCCAGUACCAGUUACCAGAAACCCUUAACCAUAACCACCUCUACUUACCCCAAAAGUUCACAACCUGCAAAAGAUUCCCCUGCAACCCAAAACAAUUCAAUCUUACCUAAAACCACUUCUUUCUCUAAGAAAUUCCCUAGCACCUUGACCAGUAAAGAUAUAGAUGAGAAAAGGGCAAAGAAUUUGUGCUAUUGGUGUGACGAAAAAUAUUCUCCUGGCCAUAAAUGUAAAAAAAGGCAAGUUUAUGUGCUGCAAUUAAAGGAAAUAAUUGAUGAGGAAGAAUUAGAAGCUACUGUUGAUGAUAGUUCAGCAGAGCAAGAUUGUGUUUCACAAGGCCAGCUUUCUUUAAAUGCUUUAUGUUUUAUGGGGCACUGGCAGUAAUCACACUAUGCUUAUCAAAGGACAGUGUGGUAAGAAGAGGCUUCAUGUGCUUAUAGACACUGGUAGUAUGCAUAACUUCUUGAAUGAACAGCUGGCUAAAGAUCUUCAAUGUUCUAUUGAUGCUGUGAAGGGUAUAUGGGUUGAAAUUGCUAAUGGACAAGCAAUUCAAUGCAAUUCUAUGUGCCAUGAGUUUCAGUGGACUAUGCAGCAACAAUCUUUUAAGACUGAUGUUUACUUGCUUCCCUUAGAAGUGGCUUAAGACACUUGGUACUGUCAAUUGGAACUUUGCAGAUUUGACUAUGUCUUUUCAGUUACAGGGGCAACAACAUGUUUUAUGUGGUGAUAAAUUUGAGACAGGUCAGAACUUGCAUGUGCUCAAUAUUAAGCAAGCAGAUUGGCUUUCUACUAAUAAGAUUUUUUUUCCUGAAUAUGAUGGGAUGUUUGCUGUACAAGAAAGGAAUGAUUGGCCUGAACUUCAGCAAUUGUUGCAAUCUUAUUCUGAUCUCUUUCAAGAACCUAAGGAAUUACCUCCUCAUAGAGAUCAUGAUCAUAGAAUCAUUAUCACGUCUGGUUCUCAACCUGUUAAUGCAAGGCCUUAUAGGUAUGCCUCUAUGCAGAAAAAUGUCAUUGAAAAUAUGGUGAAGGACAUGUUGAAAUCUGGUGUAAUUAGAAACAGUACUAGCCCAUAUGCUAGCCCUGUGGUCUUAGUCAAGAAAAAGGAUAAUUCUUGGAGGCUGUGUAUUGAUUAUAGAAGUCUUAAUAACAUUGCUGUGAAGGACAAAUUUCCAAUACCAUUGAUUGAGGAGUUGUUGGAGGAAUUGGGAGGGGCUAAGGUGUUUUCUAAAAUUGAUUUAAGGUCUGGAUAUUGGCAAGUAAGAAUGUCUGAAGAAGAUGUACCUAAAACUGCAUUCAAAACUCAUGAGGGACAUUAUGAGUUCUUAGUAAUGCCUUUUGGGUUGACCAAUGAACCUUCUACCUUCCAAUCCUUGAUGAAUUCAGUGUUUAAACAUUUAUUGAGGAAAUUUGUGCUUGUAUUUUUUGAUAACAUAUUGAUUUACAGUAAGAAUAAGGAGGAGCAUUUGUAUCAUUUGCAAGUUGUAUUGCAGUUAAUGAGAGAGCAUAAGUUGUAUGCUAAGGAGAGCAAAUGUUACUUUGGGGCAGAUCAGGUAGAAUAUUUGGGACAUGUUAUUACUGCAGACGGGGUUCAGACUGAUCCUAAAAAGAUUGAGGCUGUGCAAAAUUGGCCUACACCUCAGAAUGUGAAACAGUUAAGGAGCUUUCUUGGGCUUACAGGAUAUUAUAGAAGAUUUGUCCAGGGCUAUGGGAAGCUAGCUAAGCCCUUGACUGAUUGAUUAAAAAAGGGCAGUUAUGUGUGGACUGAUGAAACACAGCAUGCAUUUCUCACUCUUAAGCAAGCUAUGGUACGCACACCAGUUCUUUCUUUACCUGAUUUCUCAAAAAAAUUUGUUGUGGAAACAGAUGCUUCCGGGGAGGGUAUUGUAGCAGUAUUGAUGCAAGAGGGUCAUCCCAUUGCUUAUAUAAGUAAAACUUUAUCUGUAAGGAAUUUGGGCCUUUCUGCUUAUGAGAGAGAGUUAUUGGCCAUUUUGUUUGCUAUUAAGCAGUGGGAACAUUACUUGUUGCAUAGGCAUUUUAUUAUAAGAACUGAUCAUAGGAGUCUGAAAUUUUUACUAGAGCAGAAGUUGUCUACUCCAGCACAACAGGCUUGGUUAACCAAACUUCAGCAUUAUAAUUAUGAGAUUCAAUAUAAAAGGGGAUUGGAAAAUCAAGCAACAGAUGCCCUCUCUAGAAUUCCUUUCACUUCUAUUGCUACUAUUACUGCUCAUAUUAUUCCAGAUCAAUUAUUGGUUGCUAUGAAAGUUGUAUGGCAGUCAGAUGUUACAUUGCAAGGUAUUAUUGUUGAUUUGCAAAAGGAUCCUACUUCACAUCCUCAUUACACUUGGAUUGAUGGACAAUUGAGGAGGAAAGGUAAAUUGGUCAUUGGCAGUUCUGAUGAAUUGAAGACCAAGUUGCUAGAAUUAUAUCAUGAUUCUGCCCUAGGUGCUCACUCUGGUGUUUCAGUUACUGGCAGACGACUUUCUGCAGUAGUUUAUUGGAAAGGACUGCAUAAGUCUCUUAGGGAAUAUAUUCGAAAAUGCCCUAUAUGCCAAAAGAAUAAAUAUGAAAAUGUGGCUACUCCUGGUACUUUACAACCUCUACCUGUUCCAUAAGGGGUGUUUACUGAUAUAACUAUGAACUUUAUUGAUGCCUUGCCAAAGUCCCAAGGAAUAACAGUCAUCAUGGUGGUGGUAGAUCGUUUAACUAAAUAUGCACAUUUUAUAGGGCUUCAUCAUCCUUAUACUGCCAAGACAGUGGCUUAACUAUUUUUGAAUCAUACGUAUAAAUUGCAUGGGCUUCCAAAUGUUAUUGUUACUGACAGAGAUGUUGUGUUCACAAGUCAAUUUUGGCUUGAAUUCUUCAAGCUACAAGGGGUUUCUUUACAUCUAUCUACAGCCUACCAUCCUCAAACUGAUGGUCAGUCUGAGGUAGUUAAUAGAAUACUGGAGACAUAUCUAAGGUGCAUGGUUGGUGAUCUUCCUAAUAACUAGUUUCAAUGGUUAUCCCUUGCUGAGUUUUGGUAUAACACAUCCUAUGUCACUCUGUUAUACAGAUGAGUCCAUUUCAGGCUCUUUAUGGUUUUCCCCUACCAUUGCAUAUUCCAUAUUUUCCUAAAGAUUCCAGUGUAGCUGCUGUUGAUUUUUACAUAAGGGAUCGAGAGGCUGCUGUUACCUUGUUGAAGCAUCAUUUAACUAAGGCUGUAAUCGAAUGAAGCAAAUGGCAGAUAGGCACUGGACUGAGAGGGAAUUUCAAGUGGGUGAUAUGGUGACAGCCCUAUGUUCAACAUUCCAUUAAUUGAAUUCAUUCUAAGCUUCAUUCCAAAUUUUAUGGCCCUUUUAAAGUUCUCCAGAAGAUUGGGCGUGUUGCUUAUCUGUUACAAUUACCACCAGAAACCAAAAUACAUAAUGUAUUUCAUGUUUCUCCAUUGAAGCCAGCUUAUGCAGAUAUUCCACCAAGUACUGCUCUUCCUGAUGUAUCCUUCUCUCAGGAUCCUUAUCCACAAGCUAUAUUGGAUAGGCGGAUGGUGAAACGCAGGAAUCACGCUGCUACUCAAUGGUUAAUCCAUUGGAAAGAUGUUUCUCCAGCAGACGCUACUUGGGAAUAUGCUGAUGAUAUCUAGCUAAGGUUUCCAGAUUUUACUCCUUGAGGACAAGAAGUCGCUCGAGGGCUCACUCGAGGGGGAGGUAUUGUUGUGAUGUGAAUAGUAAAACGGUGUGUUGCAAGUAAAUAAGAUAGUGGCUUGGCUUGAUUAGAGGAUACGAUGCAUAUUGGCAGCGGUAAUAUCCAGAGUUUUCUGCCAGGUUACCUAGUUGUUGGGCAUGCUGUUAUGCUGGUCGGGCUGUUAGCCUUCGAGAACGGGAUUGUAGGGUAAGUAGUUACAUGGGCGGGAAAUGUAGAGUAGUUGUUGAGAGUUGUUAGAUUCUAUUAGCAGAUCAACUAUAAGAUUUAUAACUGUUGUAUUGGAAAACGAUUCUUGAUUCUUCUGAAUGGAAGAUUGGUUGAGUUUCUCUUCUUUUCCUCUGUAUUUUCUUUUUUCCAUUUUUUUAUCACAACAAUCCACUGUAAUUCCAUCUCGUGCAGCUGUUUAUUCCUCCAACUCCAAGAGCAUUCGCUAAGUAGAAAGCAGAGCAAAUAGCGAGUGAAGUAUCAAACUCACUUCACUGGUAAAAAUGGAUUUGGGAUUUCUUCUACAUGCCCUCAUUCCCUCAUUGAACUCUGCGAGUUCUCUAGCAACUAAUUAUUUUUUCAGUUCUUCCAAUUUCAAUAGGUUUUAUCGAUUUAUCUUCUUCAUUUACAUUUAUAGGUUUCUAUACUAGUGCUAUUCUUUGGUUAUCUGGCAGUUGCUGGAUCUAUGCUCCCAGGUAAGGCUGUUCCUAGAGUGACCCUGCAGGAUGGUUAUCGUCUGUAUUAUCGUUGCAAUGGUCUAUUACUAAAAAUUUUAUUUAUUUCAAUCUAUG